rnacentral:lncRNA from 1 species
UUCUGGAAGGGCCUACUAUGGUGCUUUCAAAAAAGAAGUGUAUCUCUUUCCAUUUUUACAUUAUACCCUAGAAUAUCAUCAUUCUUCCCAUAGGAAUUAUCUACAGGGAAACGAAUAAAACUUCAUCGCCAAAAGGAUGAAAAAGAAUUUUUAUCCAUAACUCAAGUGAUUCAUUAUUCAAUAUAACUAUUUUCUUAAAAGAAAAGAAAUGGAACGAAAAUCAUCCUUCGAAGAAAGGUCUAGUCGACCUCGACCGGAAAUACUCGCUAGACGAUCUAUGAGCAUUUGCUCUGCGAACAUCCUCUCACCCAUGCCGAUCCCUUCUUCUCCCAUUAAGAAUGAAAUUAAUGAUUCAAAAAGCUCCAAUAAAACAUUAUCCAAUGGAAAUGCUCAGAUUCAAAGACGAAAAUUUGGUAUCCGAAGUAAAACUGUAAUGGACUGUCAUUCUUACAUGGAGAAUAAACAGUCUGUUCCCCCCUAAAGCAAAGCGAAGUUCAAGUGUAAAAGAUUGUCGAAUGACUCAUUCUCGUUCGUCUGGAAGAUCAAGUCCAAGAACACCGCAGAAAUCUCCAUCAGAUCAAUCAAUGGGAUCAAAAACUUGGGACACGACAGAGAAAGUCCUGGGCGUUCAUACGGUUUUAGGAACGGCAGGGCUAACAUCCACAUCCCUGAUUACAAUUCCAAGUCUAGGAGGUGGGAUCGUUGGUGGUUGUGCGGCUGCAGCCCUAGGAGUUGCAACUGCUGCUAGUUUUGUGACUGGCGUUGGUGUAAUUGCAGGACUGGGAGUUGCUGGGGUUCAAUAUGCGAAGGCAAAGCAUCAAAAAGUGGAGGAAGAAAAGGAAGAGGAAACCAAUCAAAGGUCUUUGUCGACGAGCUCCUUUUCAGAUCAGGACAAUGGAGAUAGUAGUUGUUCAAGUAGUCUGAGUGAGGACUAAUUUAUUCAUCCAUAUUAUACAAUAUCAUGUACAUUACCUGAACAUUACCAUUACAUAUUAUAUCUGCCCUUCUAAGAAUGGUUGAAUCUUGAAAUCCAAGUACGCAGUGUUGCAUAUCUUAUCUUUAAAUUCAUAUAUUAACUAUUAGAGAUGGGAAAGUUGCUGGAAUCCCGGGGAGUAUAUAUAUUUUUACCUGUAAAACAUUUUUUCACUUAUUGACAUGUAUUUCUCCUUAUUGUGAACAUCCAAACAUUCUCAGCAGGAAAAGGGCGCAUUGAUGAUCUUGACUCGUUUUACGCUCGCCGGAAUUCCAGUAAUUUUUACAUCCCUAAAUUAUAUUUCGUAUGUUAAAUACUUCCCUUACGCUUACUUAGAUUAUUUCUAUGAAUGUUUAUCAAAUCAUUGUAAUACAUAUUUAUUGUAAAAAGAUAAUAUGUAAAUUUAUAAUUGUAUAUUUUUAUAAAUGUAAGUCACUUUGAUAGUUUAGAUAUUUUUUUGCACCAAAGAAUAAUAUAUCAGAAUGUGUAUGUAAAAAACAAAA